rnacentral:piRNA from 1 species
UGAGAUCUGGUGCCUCUUCUGGAGUG